rnacentral:rRNA from 1 species
GGAAUAUUGGGCAAUGGGCGCAAGCCUGACCCAGCAACGCCGCGUGAAGGAAGAAGGCUUUCGGGUUGUAAACUUCUUUUAUCAGGGACGAAGGAUGUGACGGUACCUGAUGAAUAAGCCACGGCUAACUACGUGCCAGCAGCCGCGGUAAUACGUAGGUGGCGAGCGUUGUCCGGAUUUACUGGGUGUAAAGGGCGCGUAGGCGGGAAGGCAAGUCAGGUGUGAAAUCUAUGGGCUCAACCCAUAAACUGCACUUGAAACUGUUUUUCUUGAGUGUCGGAGAGGUAGAUGGAAUUCCUAGUGUAGCGGUGAAAUGCGUAGAUAUUAGGAGGAACACCAGUGGCGAAGGCGAUCUACUGGACGAUAACUGACGCUGAGGCGCGAAAGCGUGGGGAGCAAACA